CGGGUGAGUAAUAUAUAGUUAAUGUACCUUCAAGACCGGGAUAGCCAUUGGAAACGAUGAUUAAUACUGGAUAUACCUUCUAUACCUAAGUGUAGUCGGGAAAUGUUUUUUCGCUUGAAGAUCAGACUAUAUCCCAUCAGCUUGUUGGUGAGGUAAGAGCUCACCAAGGCAAUGACGGGUAGCGGGUUUGAGAGGAUGAUCCGCCACACUGGUACUGAGACACGGACCAG
rnacentral:rRNA from 1 species